rnacentral:lncRNA from 1 species
UGAACAGUACAAUGUGCUCAUUAUUUAGAGAAUGAAGCAAAGUGGGAGGAGAAAGAUUGCUUACCUGAUCUGCUGGAGGAGAUGAAGACGACGGUGAAGUUGAUGUUAGUCUAUGUGUUUUCUGCUUGCGUUUUUCCUUUUGCUUUCCUUGUCUUUCCGUCUAAGUUUAUUCCUCUGUUUCCUUCUCCCCCUCCUAAUUCUCUCUCUGUUUUUGGUCUCUCUCUCCCUGUAAGUUCCCCUGCUCGUCGUCUCCUCUCUUUAUGCUCACUGUUUUUGUUUUCUUAGCAGCUUUUUAGAUGAUGAAGGAGUUAAGGAGAUGAUGAAUAUAUCAGCUUUCUGUGAAUUUGUUUUGACUGAUUCUGGGUCUUUCUUUGUCUGCAGGGUUGAAGGCAAUGGCAGAGCCAAUACUCGUCUCUGUGUUGCUCCUCUACUUUUCUAUCCUUCUAUUCUCUGUAUAUUUCUAAUCAUGAAGAGAAAAUAAAUGUAUUCGAAUCAUGGUUGUCAGCAUGUGAGCAAGUUUAUCCUCCCGUUAAUUCAAUCUUUUCGGCGUAUUUU